UACAAUUCCUCUUUCUCGGUUCUCGCUCUCUAGAAAGCGAAACAGAGCGGAAAAGGCAGAUGUGAGGAAGAAGAUGAGCUUCGAGAAGGCACAAAACCCAGCUUUGGGCUUUAACUUAGAAACAUGGAAUUUCUAUCAACUGGCUAAUUCAAGUGAGUAGUAGUUCACUGGGAGCGUAGCCAAAAUGAUUAACUUUUUCUUUGCAUCCCUCCGUACAAAAGGUAAAAAUCUCUGGCUUAUGAUUCCUUUUAUGUGUGUGCUUAUCUGUAAAUGAUCUACUUAUUCUAGAUUUAGUGUUUUACUUCAUAUGGGUGACUUCAAAUCUGCAUCAACACUCUUGUUCAUCACCCACACUGAAUAUAUAGAAAUAUGGCUUCUUUGGAUUACGCCAAGUUGUCCUACUUAGAUAUUCCCUUUGAGAUUAAGAGAGAAUUGAACCUAGUAUAUUAUGAUGGCAUGGCAUACAUUGUGUCUGGUUUCAAGGGAUAUAAUUUCGCUUGAUCGUAAAGACAAAUCAUCAAUGUGUUUUACAUAACAAAACAACUGUAAGGAAUUCUGUUUACAUUCAAUAGGCAAGUUGUACAAGCUCAUGAGUAUUCUUGGUUCCCUACCCUCUUUGAUAUCUAAGUCAACCACAUCUACUCAUAUGCAUAUGCCUGCACACAUAGAUAUAUGUAUUGUAUCUUCAAUGUAACAGUAUAUAUAUAUACACCUGAGUGUGACCUAAUGGCAUUAUGAGCAUGGGACGAAAUGGUCUUGCACAAGCAUUUGCUCUUCUUGCUUGUCUAGUGUCCUUUGCACUGCUUUGUAGAACUCAAUCCAAGAAGAUGAGUAUGAAUCCAUGGCGCCAAACAUGAAAGUUGGAUUGGGACUUGCAGGGCAAGCGGUGACCAUAUCCAAAACAGAAGUGGCAGGUUUGAGCUGGUGAGGGAAGUUGAAGGCCAAGUUAUCGACCUUAUGCUCAUAGAUUUUGCCAUUUCGGUCGAGUUUAUAGCGAGAAGUACCCUGAAACUCUCCCUUUGCCUCCCAUGGGACUCUAGGUACACCUUUAAGAUUCCACCUGAUGAGAAUCAUGUUCUCUGAUGGUUGCCAAACCCUGAAGAUCUCAAGUGAGAUAUCCCUGAAGAGAAUCUUGCCAUGAAAUCUAAGUGCCCAGAAGAUCAAUUUGUAGUUGUCAAUCCCAGAGAACGUGUUCAUUGGAUCCACUAAUGUUAUAUCAUCCCUGAAAGAGGAAACACAAAUGCUUUCAUUGACAGGUUUAAGGAAGGAAUCACCUAAAGGAGAAAGAGGAAAACACACCUGUAAAUGUCGUAAUUGAGAUCUUUGGUGAAGAGGAGAGGCAAAUCUUCGCGAAGGGUACGUACAGCUAAACCGAGAUUGAUGUAGAAGUCAUCUUUGCUGCCGUGCUGGUACUUAUCCUGCGCACUUGGUUUGGUCUUAACCUGCGCACCUCGAACAGGAGGAGGAGCCUGGACGCUAAAGAGAGAAAGUGGAGAGAGACUAUCUUCUUCAAACUCGUAGCUAUUGGACGAUGAUGAUGAUGAUGAUAAAGCUUGGUUGGAAAUGGGUUUCUCUUUGAGUGAUUUUCCGGUCGGAAGAAGGAAAGAAGGAGAGAGAUUGGGGAGAAGAAACGCCAUAGCUGCUGGAUUUUAGAGCUUCUCUUGUUCUUUUGUUGUUGUUUUGUCUUAAUUUUUCAAGGCGACUUAAGAGAAUCAGAGGGAGAGGAUGACGAGUUGAGAAGAGCGAAGAUGCACGAAGAAGCUUUGUUGGAAGAUAAACAGCUGCUC
rnacentral:lncRNA from 1 species